rnacentral:rRNA from 1 species
UACAGAGGUCUCAAGCGUUGUUCGGAUUCAUUGGGCGUAAAGAGCGCGUAGGCGGCUUGGUAAGUCGGAUGUGAAAUCCCGGGGCUCAACCCCGUGACUGCACCCGAAACUGCCCGGCUAGAGGUAGGUAGGGGAGAUCGGAAUUCCUGGUGUAGCGGUGAAAUGCGCAGAUAUCAGGAGGAACACCGGUGGCGAAGGCGGAUCUCUGGGCCGUACCUGACGCUGAGGCGCGAAAGCGAGGGGAGCAAACAGG